rnacentral:other from 1 species
GUUGUGAUUAGCUUUCAUUUUAGUAUCUUUGAACCAUCGGAAACAAC